CAGUAGCCGCGGGAACACGGAGGGGGCUAGCGUUGUUCGGAAUUACUGGGCGUAAAGCGUACGUAGGCGGCUUUGUAAGUUAGAGGUGAAAGCCUGGUGCUCAACACCAGAACUGCCUUUAAGACUGCAUCGCUUGAACGUCGGAGAGGUGAGUGGAAUUCCGAGUGUAGAGGUGAAAUUCGUAGAUAUUCGGAAGAACACCAGUGGCGAAGGCGGCUCACUGGACGACUGUUGACGCUGAGGUACGAAAGCGUGGGGAGCAAACAGGAUUAGAUACCCCCGUAGUCCCUGUCUCUUAUAC
rnacentral:rRNA from 1 species